AUCAAUUUAUCUGACAGCUUCCAAUAGGAUGGGCGUGUCACCAAGAGAUUGUUUGGUAGUGGAGGAUAGCGUUAUUGGACUACAGGCUGCAACAAGAGCAGGGAUGUCAUGUGUGAUUAGCUACACAUCUUCAACAGCUGAACAGGAUUUUAAAGAUGCAAUAGCCAUCUAUCCAGAUUUGAGUAAUUUGAGAUUGAAAGACCUGGAGUUAUUACUUCAAAAAGUGGUCCCUGCCUGUUAAAAAAUGCGUCGAUUUUUUCUAAACUUCCAGAAGAGCCUGUGUAGUUUUUGCAGAAUUUUGGUUGUGAUUGAAGUUUACCCAUUCAUCUAUGGCAUUUUCAUUGAAGUUAAAAAAUCACCCUUUUG